rnacentral:rRNA from 1 species
AUGACGUCAAGUCAUCAUGGCCCUUACGGCCUGGGCUACACACGUGCUACAAUGGUCGGUACAAAGGGUUGCCAAGCGCGAGGUGGAGCUAAUCCCAUAAAACCGAUCGUAGUCCGGAUCGCAGUCUGCAACUCGACUGCGUGAAGUCGGAAUCGCUAGUAAUCGUGAAUCAGAAUGUCACGGUGAAUACGUUCCCGGGCCUU